CGGAUGCUGACGAGUGGCGAACGGGUGAGUAAUACAUCGGAACGUGCCCGAGAGUGGGGGAUAACGAAGCGAAAGCUUUGCUAAUACCGCAUACGAUCUCAGGAUGAAAGCAGGGGACCGCAAGGCCUUGCGCUCACGGAGCGGCCGAUGGCAGAUUAGGUAGUUGGUGGGAUAAAAGCUUACCAAGCCGACGAUCUGUAGCUGGUCUGAGAGGACGACCAGCCACACUGGGACUGAGACACGGCCCAGACUCCUACGGGAGGCAGCAGUGGGGAAUUUUGGACAAUGGGCGCAAGCCUGAUCCAGCCAUGCCGCGUGCAGGAUGAAGGCCUUCGGGUUGUAAACUGCUUUUGUACGGAACGAAAAGACUCCUUCUAAUAAAGGGGGUCCAUGACGGUACCGUAAGAAUAAGCACCGGCUAACUACGUGCCAGCAGCCGCGGUAAUACGUAGGGUGCGAGCGUUAAUCGGAAUUACUGGGCGUAAAGCGUGCGCAGGCGGUGAUGUAAGACAGAUGUGAAAUCCCCGGGCUCAACCUGGGAACUGCAUUUGUGACUGCAUCGCUGGAGUGCGGCAGAGGGGGAUGGAAUUCCGCGUGUAGCAGUGAAAUGCGUAGAUAUGCGGAGGAACACCGAUGGCGAAGGCAAUCCCCUGGGCCUGCACUGACG
rnacentral:rRNA from 1 species